UACGUAGGGUGCAAGCGUUGUCCGGAAUUAUUGGGCGUAAAGAGCUCGUAGGCGGUUUGUCGCGUCUGCUGUGAAAACUCGGGGCUUAACUCCGGGCCUGCAGUGGGUACGGGCAGACUAGAGUGCGGUAGGGGAGACUGGAAUUCCUGGUGUAGCGGUGAAAUGCGCAGAUAUCAGGAGGAACACCGGUGGCGAAGGCGGGCCUCUGGGCCGUAACUGACGCUGAGGAGCGAAAGCGUGGGGAGCGAACAGG
rnacentral:rRNA from 1 species